UGGGGGGCCUACGGGAGGCAGCAGUGGGGAAUAUUGCACAAUGGGCGCAAGCCUGAUGCAGCGACGCCGCGUGAGGGAUGACGGCCUUCGGGUUGUAAACCUCUUUCAGUAGGGAAGAAGCGAAAGUGACGGUACCUGCAGAAGAAGCGCCGGCUAACUACGUGCCAGCAGCCGCGGUAAUACGUAGGGCGCAAGCGUUAUCCGGAAUUAUUGGGCGUAAAGAGCUCGUAGGCGGUUUGUCGCGUCUGCCGUGAAAGUCCGGGGCUCAACUCCGGAUCUGCGGUGGGUACGGGCAGACUAGAGUGAUGUAGGGGAGACUGGAAUUCCUGGUGUAGCGGUGAAAUGCGCAGAUAUCAGGAGGAACACCGAUGGCGAAGGCAGGUCUCUGGGCAUUAACUGACGCUGAGGAGCGAAAGCAUGGGGAGCGAACAGGAUUAGAUACCCUGGUAGUCCAUGCCGUAAACGUUGGGCACUAGGUGUGGGGGACAUUCCACGUUUUCCGCGCCGUAGCUAACGCAUUAAGUGCCCCGCCG
rnacentral:rRNA from 1 species